GGUGCAGGUGAUGAUUUAAAGCGACCAAAGCCUGAGAGUUCGUGAUUAGAGCUUUUAUUUGGUAGCUGAUGCACC
rnacentral:snoRNA from 1 species